rnacentral:tRNA from 1 species
UAGCUCAGUCGUUAGAGCAUCAGACUCUUAAUCUGGCGGUCGUGGGUUCGAGUCCCAC